rnacentral:rRNA from 1 species
UACGGAGGGUGCAAGCAUUAAUCGGAUUUACUGGGCGUAAAGGGCGCGUAGGCGGGUCUACAAGUCAAAUGUGAAAUUCCGGAGCUCAACUUCGGAGCGGCAUUUGAAACUGUAGGUCUAUAGAGGGAUGGCGGAGAAAAUGGAAUUCCACGUGUAGCGGUGAAAUGCGUAGAGAUGUGGAGGAACACCAAUGGCGAAGGCAGCCUUCUGGGCCAACACUGACGCUCAUGCACGAAAGCGUGGGGAGCAAACAGG